GACGGGGCCCGCACAAGCGGUGGAGCAUGUGGUUUAAUUCGACGCAACGCGCAGAACCUUAUCUGGGCUUGACAUCCCGAUCGUACUUUCUGGAAACAGUUAGGUCAGUUCGGCUGGAUCGGUGACAGGUGCUGCAUGGCUGUCGUCAGCUCGUGUCGUGAGAUGUUGGGUUAAGUCCCGCAACGAGCGCAACCCUUGUCCUUAGUUGCCAGCAUUAAGUUGGGCACUCUAAGGAGACUGCCGGUGUUAAACCGGAGGAAGGUGGGGAUGACGUCAAGUCCUCAUGGCCCUUAUGUCCAGGGCUACACACGUGCUACAAUGGCCGGUACAAGGGGCUGCAAUACCGCAAGGUGGAGCGAACCCCAAAAAGCCGGUCUCAGUUCGGAUUGCAGGCUGCAAUUCGCCUGCAUGAAGUCGGAAUCGCUAGUAAUCGCAGGUCAGCAUACUGCGGUGAAUACGUUCCCGGGCCUU
rnacentral:rRNA from 1 species